CUUCAUUAAUUUUGUUGGAGAUAUUGUUGAGAAGGGGUACAUUCGCAUGAAGAAAGGAAUGCAACUAACGCAUUGCCAACAUCUAAGUUUGGCUACUGAUGUCUCAAGAUUAAGGUAACAGGCUUUUUGGCCUGGUUCCUUUGUGGAACAUUUCGGAGGUGAAAAGUGAUUACUGUCGUCAGUUUUAAUUUGAUCUUAAAUAAACC
rnacentral:lncRNA from 1 species